rnacentral:rRNA from 1 species
UUGAACGCUGGCGGCAUGCCUUACACAUGCAAGUCGAACGGCAGCACGGGAGCAAUCCUGGUGGCGAGUGGCGAACGGGUGAGUAAUGCGUCGGAACGUACCGAGUAAUGGGGGAUAACGCAGCGAAAGCUGUGCUAAUACCGCAUACGCCCUGAGGGGGAAAGUGGGGGAUCGCAAGACCUCACGUUAUUCGAGCGGCCGACGUCUGAUUAGCUAGUUGGUGGGGUAAAGGCUCACCAAGGCGACGAUCAGUAGCGGGUCUGAGAGGAUGAUCCGUCACACUGGAACUGAGACACGGUCCAGACUCCUACGGGAGGCAGCAGUGGGGAAUUUUGGACAAUGGGGGCAACCCUGAUCCAGCCAUUCCGCGUGAGUGAAGAAGGCCUUCGGGUUGUAAAGCUCUUUCAGCCGGAACGAAACGGUACGCUCUAACAUAGCGUGCUAAUGACGGUACCGGCAGAAGAAGCACCGGCUAACUACGU